CCUACGGGAGGCAGCAGUGAGGAAUAUUGGUCAAUGGUCGGGAGACUGAACCAGCCAAGCCGCGUGAGGGAUGAAGGUACAGAGUAUCGUAAACCUCUUUUGUCAGGGAACAAAGGCGGGGACGUGUCCCCGGAUGAGUGUACCUGAAGAAAAAGCAUCGGCUAACUCCGUGCCAGCAGCCGCGGUAAUACGGAGGAUGCGAGCGUUAUCCGGAUUUAGUGGGUUUAAAGGGUGCGCAGGCGGUCUGUUAAGUCAGCGGUCAAAGCCCGGGGCUCAACCCCGGCCCGCCGGUGAAACUGGCAGUCUCGAGUUGGAGAGAAGUAUGCGGAAUGCGCGGUGUAGCGGUGAAAUGCAUAGAUAGCGCGCAGAACUCCGAUUGCGAAGGCAGCAUGCCGGCUCCACACUGACGCUGAGGCACGAAAGCGUGGGUAUCGAACAGGAUUAGAUACCCUUGUAGUC
rnacentral:rRNA from 1 species